rnacentral:tRNA from 1 species
GCGAAAGUGGCGGAAUUGGCAGACGCGCUGGACUUAGGAUCCAGUCCUGAUAAGGGGUGGGGGUUCAAAUCCCCCCUUUCGCA